rnacentral:rRNA from 1 species
CAACUCUAGCUCUGCAAAUAUUUAUUUUAAUAAUAUAUUUUUAUAAAUUAAAUCAUUCAUAAUCUAAAAGUAUUGGAGAAAGAAAUUUUAAACAGACGCUAUAGAGGUAGUACCGUAAGGGAAAGAAAUAUAUAUAUAUAUUAAAGUAAUAAUAAGCAAAGAUUAAAACUUGUACCUUUUGCAUAAUGAAUUAGCUAGAAACAGUCUAACUAAGAGACCUGCAGCUAGACACCCCGAAACCAAGCGAGCUACCCAAGAGCAACCUCCAGAGUAAACCCUUCUAUGUAGCAAAAUAGUGGGAAGACUUUUGGGUAGAGGUGAAAAGCCUACCGAGCCUGGUGAUAGCUGGUUACCCGCCCAAGGAAUUUUAGUUCCACUUUAAAUUUUGCCCUACGGCCUUAUAACCUAACUGCAAAUUUAACUUAUAAUCUAAAGAGGGACAGCUCUUUAGAAAAAGGAUACAACCUCAGGCAGUAAAUAAAUUUAAAUUGACACCAUCGUUGGCUUUAAAGCAGCCACCAAUAAGGAAAGCGUUCAAGCUCAAAAACUUACAUAACCUAAAUUUCAUAAAUUAGAGUGAUUUUCUGCCACUUACAAGCGAGUUAUUCUAUUAUAUAGAAGAAAUAAUGCUAGUAUUAGUAACAAGAAUUUAAUUCUCCUUGCACAAGCCUAUAACAACCCGGAUGCCCAUUGUUAGUUAACAAAGCUAAAUAAAUAUAUAUAUAUAUAAAAUCACAUUUUAAUUCGUUAUGUUGGUCCAACACAGGGGUGCGAUAAGGAAAGAUUAAAAAAAAUAAAAGGAACUCGGCAAACAUGAGUCCCGCCUGUUUACCAAAAACAUCACCUCUAGCAUUACAAGUAUUAGAGGCCCUGCCUGCCCAGUGACUAAAGUUAAACGGCCGCGGUAUCCUGACCGUGCAAAGGUAGCAUAAUCACUUGUUCCUUAAUUAGGGACUAGAAUGAACGGCCAAACGAGGACUCGACUGUCUCUUAUUUUUAAUCAGUGAAAUUGACCUUUCCGUGAAGAGGCGGAAAUUAACCUAUAAGACGAGAAGACCCUGUGGAGCUUUAAUUAAUUAACUUAUUCUACAAUUAUAACAACCUACGCGGGAUAAAAAAAAAGAUAGUAAGUUAAUAAUUUUGGUUGGGGUGACCUCGGAGCAUAAAAAAUCCUCCGAAUGAUUAUAACCAAGACGUACAAGUCAAAGUAAUAUAUAUAUAUAUAUAUCCAAUUGACCCAAUUUUUGAUCAAUGGACCAAGUUACCCCAGGGAUAACAGCGCAAUCCUAUUUAAGAGUCCCUAUCGACAAUUAGGGUUUACGACCUCGAUGUUGGAUCAGGACAUCCCAAUGGUGUAGAAGCUAUUAAAGGUUCGUUUGUUCAACGAUUAAAGUCCUACGUGAUCUGAGUUCAGACCGGAGCAAUCCAGGUCGGUUUCUAUCUAUAUAUAAUUUCUCCCAGUACGAAAGGAUAAGAGAAAUAGAGCCACCUUACCAUAAGCGCUUUAAAAUAAUAAAUGAGAUCAUCUAAAUUUAGUAGUUUUGCUUUAUACGACCCAAGAUAAGGGUU